rnacentral:rRNA from 1 species
UACGUAGGUGGCAAGCGUUGUCCGGAUUUACUGGGUGUAAAGGGCGUGCAGCCGGGAGUGCAAGUCAGAUGUGAAAUCCCGCGGCUCAACCGCGGAACUGCAUUUGAAACUGUGCUUCUUGAGUGCUGGAGAGGCGGACGGAAUUCCUAGUGUAGCGGUGAAAUGCGUAGAUAUUAGGAGGAACACCGGUGGCGAAGGCGGCCUGCUGGACUGCAACUGACGUUGAGGCCCGAAAGCGUGGGGAGCGAACAGG